CUGAGGGAUCCCUGCCGUCUGUUGCCCAACGCUUCCAUAACAACAAUCGCUUUCAAGGUCUUAACGAUGCACGGGCCUUAUCCAGUAUAUCCUUUCGGAUUUUGGGGUGAUAAUCAUCACAAUGACUGGUGACUCGUUGACAUUAACAGAUAAGAGACGUGGAAUGUGGAACCACAUAUGGAAACAUCUCAUACAAGUUUCCUUAACAGAUGACUUAGAGGACAAGUCUACAGAUCUGAGCAACAAAUGGCAAAUAUCCAGAAAGGAGUCAAGCCUGGCUAGAAGUUGGAAGAAGAUAGGUGCCUAGCAUAACUGUCAUCAGAGAGGCUUCACCCAGCAACUGAUGGAAACUGAUGCAAAGACUCACAGCCAAUCAUUCAGUAGAGCUUGGGGAAUCCCAAGAACAGGAGGAAGAAUUCAAAGAGCCAGAGGGGACAAGGACACCAAAUGAAAACCUUCAGGAUCAACUAACCUAGGUCCACAGGGGCCAACAGAGACUGAACCACCAACCAGAGAGCAUGUAUGGGACGGACCUAGGCUGUCUCUACACGUAUGUAACAGUGGUGCAGCUGGGUCUUCAGGUGGGACUCCUAACAGCGGGAGCAGGGGCUCCCUUUCAUUACACUGCUUGCCCUUGGAUACCUUUCCCCAAAAUGGACUGGCUGGUCAAGAGAAGAACAUGCUCCUGCCGGAAGGAUGGCUAAGUGCCCACUCUACCUACAAGUAAAAUGGAUCUUUUCCUUCUUCUUUUUUUUUUUUUUUUGGUUCUUUUUUUCAGAGCUGGGGACCAAACCCAGGGCCUUGCGCUUCCUAGGUAAGCGCUCUACCACUGAGCCAAAUCCCCAGCCCGGAUCUUUUCCUUCCUUUAACAAAACAGGGCUGUAUUAUUUUGAAUAUGUUUGCUUGUCUUACUGCAACUUGAUAUGCCAAAGCUGAUUGACAGCCAUGGAGGCCUCCCCUUUUCUGAGGAGGAAGGGAGGAGGAGUGGGUGGUAGGUGAAGGGAGGUAAGACAGAGGAGGGGAAGCUGACAUCUGGAUUAAAGUAAAUAAAUAACUUAAUAAAAAGUACACAAGGUGACACCUUUGCUGACUUUGAAUUGGCCUGCUCAUCUUUAAAAUAGGGAUCGUAAUCUUAACCUCCUCCUGAGUAAUGUUCUGAAAUUCAAGCUGUAUAAGAACAUCUUAUAAAAUCUGUAGCAAUAUUUCUAAAAAACUGUAUCUGACCUAUAGUACAGAAAUUUACUAAAGAUCCCUAUGACCUACUUCAACGAAUAAUCUCUUCCUUUACUUACAUCACAUCACAGGACUUCUUUAGACUAUUUAAUAUGUUGUAAUUUAUUUUUCAUGAGAAAAUCUACAGAAAUCAGCAGCUCAUUUACUGAAGUUUUCAUAAAUGUCGUUUCCUGCGUUUUAAGCCAACUACCUGAACAAUAUCACAUUCUCUCUCUGAGCAGGGAACUGUGGGAAUCCUGCAAGGCAUAUCUCCCUUUGUCCCCAUUCCCUCUUCCAGGAUCUGAGGCAAUCCUUUGAGAACACGCUCUUAGUGUUUGCAGAAAGGCUCUGCUUUGUUUUGAGUCUAGAUUUCUGCUUUGUCCCACAGUGGCUUACAGAGAGCUGAAGCUGCCAUCUAAGGCAGUCUACACAAAUCCACAACCUUUUACUCUUUCUCAGGGUCCUGAAGUGGGAAACCGGAGCGUGGUCCAAGGGUUUGGUAGCCUAUCUACCACUGUUACCUCCAAGGCGAACAGAGUAGAAACGCUUUUGAUAUUGUCUGAGAGACACAUAAUUCUGAGUUCUCAGUGACCUCGAGCACUGCUCAGUAGAAGGGCAGACAGGUCAGUGACGGCAGUUAGAUGUAGGCAUUACUAACUGGGACUAUCCAUUUUUAGUAGUAUUGUGUACAGGAAGGCCUAACUGUACACUCAGGGAGGGACUCGAUUUAGCAAAAAGGAAAAGGAAAUAACCACAAUAAAGAGAUUCCAGGAGGUCAUUUCAGUGUUGCUAAAGAGAGAGCAUCAUUUUCACGACUGAAUCACGCACUGCAGUUCUGGUCCCAUUUAGUUCUUCAGCUGGAGAGAUGCUGAGUACAUCUGGGCGAGAGGGUGAGCCAUGCAGGCAGCCAGGCCUGCAUUCUCAUGGAGGAAGUUAGCCUCUACGACACCUGUAGCAGGAAAAUCCUCCAGAACACAACAAUCUCCUCCUCAGAAUUAUCUUGUGCUCUUCUGAAGAAUUUCUUUUCUGUGGAAUAUAUCCAUGUUCCCUCAGAGAGUAACUUAGCAAAUGUUAUGUCUUACAUGGCCCACCAUGUAAGGUUAAAUGAAGUAUAUUUCUACUUUGUAUUAAGUGAGCUAUUAGGCCAUGUUUAGGAACCAGUCUGUUUUCCAAAACAGUGCUUGGUCUUACCAGAAUGAGACGACAAAGCUGAAAAGGAGAACCACUGACCUCAGA